rnacentral:rRNA from 1 species
UACGUAGGGUGCAAGCGUUGUCCGGAUUUAUUGGGUUUAAAGGGUGCGUAGGCGGUUCUGUAAGUCAGUGGUGAAAUACUCUAGCUUAACUAGAGGGGUGCCAAUGAUACUGCAGAACUUGAGUACAGAUGAGGUAGGCGGAAUUGACGGUGUAGCGGUGAAAUGCAUAGAUAUCGUCAAGAACACCGAUAGCGAAGGCAGCUUACUGGGCUGUAACUGACGCUGAUGCACGAAAGUGUGGGGAUCAAACAGG